GAAACACAGCGAAGACACACACAGGCUAAAGUGAGAUAGGUUUCAGUAUUUAUUUUAUUUACUGUUAAUGCUCCUUUUUUGUUCCUUUUUCUAAUAUUGUUUUUUCUCCCAGGUUGUCAGAACUUCGAAGAAUCUCUCCUAUUUCUGUUUUCUUUUUUUCAUUUUUAUUUAAGUAUUCAUUUUUAUUUUUAUUUAAAUGUGAAAGAUUCCUUUUAGAAGGAAUCUUGUUCUAUAAGUGUUCUUGUUCGCACCAGAUUCCACUUCGGAUUUCUUUUAGACUCAAUCCUCGUGCCAUAGUGCCGACUUUUUUAUUAUUGUUGUAUUGGUGUACUUAUCACUUUCUGCCA
rnacentral:lncRNA from 1 species